rnacentral:rRNA from 1 species
CAAUAGCGUAUAUUGAAGUUGUUGCGGUUAAAAAGCUCGUUGAGGUCGAACAGUGCCGCCCUAUGGGUGCGCAACUGGCUCGGCUUCGGCAUCUUCUUGGAGAGCGCAUCUGCACUUAACUGUGUGGAUCGUACUUCAAGUCAGUUACUUUGAGGAAUUGUGAGUGUUCCAAGCAGGCUUACGCCGUUGAAUCCGUUAGCAUGGAAUAAUAGGAUAGGACCUCGGUUCUAUUUUGUUGGUUUUGAGAGCUGGGGCAGCGAUUGAUAGGGACGGAUGGGGGCGUCCGAACUUUACUGUCAGAGGUGAAAUUCUUAGAUCGGUCAAAGGCGAACUACUGCGAACGCAUUCGCCAAGAAUGUUUUCUUUAA